rnacentral:rRNA from 1 species
CCUACGGGGGGCAGCAGUAGGGAAUAUUGCUCAAUGGGGGAAACCCUGAAGCAGCAACGCCGCGUGGGGGAUGAAGGUUUUAGGAUUGUAAACUCCUUUUGUUAGAGAAGAUUGUGACGGUAUCUAACGAAUAAGCACCGGCUAAAUCCGUGCCAGCAGCCGCGGUAAUACGGAGGGUGCAAGCGUUACUCGGAAUUACGGGGCGUAAAGAGUGCGUAGGCGGGGUAAUAAGUCAGAUGUGAAAUCCUGUAGCUUAACUACAGAACUGCAUUUGAAACUGUUACUCUGGAGUGUGGGAGAGGUAGGUGGAAUUCUUGGUGUAGGGGUAAAAUGCGUAGAGAUCAAGAGGAAUACUCAUUGCGAAGGCGACCUGCUGGAACACUACUGACGCUGAUGCACGAAAGCGUGGGGAGCAAACAGGAUUAGAUACCCCUGUAGUC